rnacentral:rRNA from 1 species
GACGAACGCUGGCGGCGUGCUUAACACAUGCAAGUCGAACGGAAAGGCCCUGCUUUUGUGGGGUGCUCGAGUGGCGAACGGGUGAGUAACACGUGAGUAACCUGCCCUUGACUUUGGGAUAACUUCAGGAAACUGGGGCUAAUACCGGAUAGGAGCUCCUGCUGCAUGGUGGGGGUUGGAAAGUUUCGGCGGUUGGGGAUGGACUCGCGGCUUAUCAGCUUGUUGGUGGGGUAGUGGCUUACCAAGGCUUUGACGGGUAGCCGGCCUGAGAGGGUGACCGGCCACAUUGGGACUGAGGUACGGCCCAGACUCCUACGGGAGGCAGCAGUGGGGAAUAUUGCACAAUGGGCGGAAGCCUGAUGCAGCAACGCCGCGUGCGGGAUGACGGCCUUCGGGUUGUAAACCGCUUUCGCCUGUGGCGAAGCGUGAGUGACGGUAAUGGGUAAAGAAGCACCGGCUAACUACGUG